GAAAUGCGAUAAGUAAUGUGAAUUGCAGAAUUCAGUGAAUCAUCUAAUCUUUGAACGCACCUUGCGCUCCUUGGUAUUCCUUGGAGCAUGCCUGUUUGAGUAUCAUGAAAUCUUCAAAUUAAAUCUUUUGUUAACUCAAUUGGUUUCUACUUUGGUAUUGGAGGUCUUUGCAGCUUCACACCUGCUCCUCUUUGUUCAUUAGCUGGAUCUCAGUGUUAUGCUUGGUUCCACUCGGCGUGAUAAGUUAUCUAUCGCUGAGGACACUGUAAAAGGUGGCCAAGGUAAAUGCAGAUGAACCGCUUCUAAUAGUCCAUUGACUUGGACAAUACUUUUAUGAUCUGAUCUCAAAUCAGGUAGGACUACCCGCUGAACUUAAGC
rnacentral:misc_RNA from 1 species